UUUCCAUGGCAGACAUCUGUCUCGUUCCUCAAGUCUAUAAUGCUGAACGGUUCAAAGUGGAUGUUGAUCAGUUCCCAACUAUCAAAAGGCUAAACCAAACCUUACUGAAAGUAGAUGCUUUCAAAGAGAGUCAUCCGUCCUGCCAACUAGACACACCUGCUGAAAUAUGUACAUGAGAACACCUCUGAUGUCUAAGGGAGCCAGUAGUGCCACCAUCAUUAAAUGCUUCUAUAAAAUACCUUUGUCUUAUUUAAUGAGAUUGAAACCAAAGACGAUCUAUUACUUGUAUGAUGAAGUUUCGUUAUUUUAAUACUCAUAUUUACCCUCUAAGAAACAGUACAUUCACCCAUCUACACAAAUUAUGCCAAUGCUGACCAAAGUGGAUGUUACGGGAAGCAAUACAAAAUGUAAAAACAUUAACAAAUAGUGAUGUAUUAAAUCUAUAAAAAAAACAUUUACUGUACAAAUGACAAAGUACCAUACUAGCCCUCCGUUGAUCCUUCAUGUUACUGUAGAAGUUUAUGGAAAGUGAAAACGGCUGUCUGCACUUUGUUUAAAUAAUUGUUUUUUGUAAAAAAGCUGAAGUUCAGCUUACUUAAAUUCAAAUAAAACAGAAAAUUGAUUUCAGCUCUA